rnacentral:tRNA from 1 species
AGCAAGGUCAGCUAAUUUAAGCUAUCGGGCCCAUACCCCGAAAAUGUUGGUUUAACCCCUCCCAUGCUA